rnacentral:rRNA from 1 species
GAUGAACGCUGGCGGCGUGCCUAAUACAUGCAAGUCGAGCGAACAGACGAGGAGCUUGCUCCUCUGACGUUAGCGGCGGACGGGGGAGUAACACGUGGAUAACCUACCUAUAAGACUGGGAUAACUUCGGGAAACCGGAGCUAAUACCGGAUAAUAUAUUGAACCGCAUGGUUCAAUAGUGAAAGACGGUUUUGCUGUCACUUAUAGAUGGAUCCGCGCCGCAGUAGCUAGUUGGUAAGGUAACGGCUUACCAAGGCGACGAUGCGUAGCCGACCUGAGAGGGUGAUCGGCCACACUGGAACUGAGACACGGUCCAGACUCCUACGGGAGGCAGCAGUAGGGAAUCUUCCGCAAUGGGCGAAAGCCUGACGGAGCAACGCCGCGUGAGUGAUGAAGGUCUUCGGAUCGUAAAACUCUGUUAUUAGGGAAGAACAAAUGUGUAAGUAACUAUGCACGUCUUGACGGUACCUAAUCAGAAAGCCACGGCUAACUACGUG